rnacentral:rRNA from 1 species
GUCGAGCGAACAGAUAAGGAGCUUGCUCCUUUGACGUUAGCGGCGGACGGGUGAGUAACACGUGGAUAACCUACCUAUAAGACUGGGAUAACUUCGGGAAACCGGAGCUAAUACCGGAUAAGAUUUUGAACCGCAUGGUUCAAUAGUGAAAGACGGCCUUGCUGUCACUUAUAGAUGGAUCCGCGCCGUAUUAGCUAGUUGGUAAGGUAACGGCUUACCAAGGCAACGAUACGUAGCCGACCUGAGAGGGUGAUCGGCCACACUGGAACUGAGACACGGUCCAGACUCCUACGGGAGGCAGCAGUAGGGAAUCUUCCGCAAUGGGCGAAAGCCUGACGGAGCAACGCCGCGUGAGUGAUGAAGGUCUUCGGAUCGUAAAACUCUGUUAUCAGGGAAGAACAAACGUGUAAGUAACUGUGCACGUCUUGACGGUACCUGAUCAGAAAGCCACGGCUAACUACGUGCCAGCAGCCGCGGUAAUACGUAGGUGGCAAGCGUUAUCCGGAAUUAUUGGGCGUAAAGCGCGCGUAGGCGGUUUUUUAAGUCUGAUGUGAAAGCCCACGGCUCAACCGUGGAGGGUCAUUGGAAACUGGAAAACUUGAGUGCAGAAGAGGAAAGUGGAAUUCCAUGUGUAGCGGUGAAAUGCGCAGAGAUAUGGAGGAACACCAGUGGCGAAGGCGACUUUCUGGUCUGUAACUGACGCUGAUGUGCG